UUUUUCUUUCUUGGUAAUUAACUUUAAAACAAGUUGAGUUGUGUGUUUUCUCUACGUAAUAUAUGUAUAUUCAACUUUAAUUGCUAAUAUAAGUUGUCUCAGAUAAUUAGUACUGCACAUAUUUUCUUUAUUUAAAUUAGAAGUACAAAGCUACAAAAUGGAUUAUCUGUGCCUGGCCAUCGCAGGCAAUGUGUGAUGACGAUUUUGGACUUUUUCAUGGCAAAUCUAGGACGCUUGUAAACUUUUGAAACCAAAACUUAUGUCACUGCUUACACAAGUUCUAGUGUAAAAUAAAACACUCAAGAAGGAAGCCUAAAUAAUAUACAUUUAGAAACUCCACUGCAAAAUACACCCAAAACCCGAAUGUUAGCGUUAUGGGCCCUUAGACAAGCUGAGGCUGCGGUGGAGGGGGACAUUUAAUACUGCUAUUAAGUUUUGAACAUUUCUUUAUAUUGAUGGUGACGUUACACCAUUGCUAUUAUAACAACGUAAUGUUUCUCUAUGAAUGUGUACUUUACCAACAAAUAAUAUCAGAAAAUAUCUAAUAAAUCAGUUGCAGCUUUUCUUCAGCAUCAUUGAAAAUUAUAUUUUCAUUAUGAAAAAUAAAUGUGUGGCCUUUAUUAACAUUUACUGCGCAUACUCCCAGUAAGUGUACGUUUUUUGUUGGCUAUUAAUACGAGCCAAUACCAAAUUUAAGUUUUAAAGCUUACUAACAAGAAGUGAAUAGCAAAGUAGACGUAAUUAUAGGCUUAUAUCAAGUUACAAAUAUUUUUUCAGUGAGAUUCAUUCUUGUGAUAGGCAUAAAGGAUGCUACUUGUUAUCCAGACAAUGGAAAGGAUAUGGACUUGGUGUACCUGCCUCAUAGUUAUUUGUCCAAUUUUUCAAAAAGGCUUAAAUUCCAUUUAUCUUGCACCCCUGUUGGAAAACGUUUGACGAAGAUAAUGCAGAUCCUACUUACAUAGGCAGUUCAAGUUCUUGGUGCCCUGGUGGUGUUAUGCUAUGAAAAUUACCAGUAACUGAAAUGCUGUUGUUUCAGGUGAUAUAAUAAAAACUUUAUGCUUACGGUAAAGCUGGGGGAAAAAAAACAACAAAA